rnacentral:rRNA from 1 species
AGAGUUUGAUCAUGGCUCAGGAUGAACGCUAGCGAUAGGCCUAACACAUGCAAGUCGAGGGGCAGCACUGGCGAGUAGCAAUACUUGCCUGGUGGCGACCGGCGGAUGGGUGAGUAACACGUAUGCAACCUGCCUACAACAAGGGCAUAACUCCGGGAAAUCGGUGCUAAUUCCCUAUAACACAGGGGCCCCGCAUGGGGAUAUUUGUUAAAGAUUAAUCGGUUGUAGAUGGGCAUGCGUUCCAUUAGCUAGUUGGUGAGGUAAUGGCUCACCAAGGCAACGAUGGAUAGGGGAACUGAGAGGUUUAUCCCCCACACUGGUACUGAGACACGGACCAGACUCCUACGGGAGGCAGCAGUGAGGAAUAUUGGUCAAUGGAGGCAACUCUGAACCAGCCACGUCGCGUGAAGGAAGACGGCCCUACGGGUUGUAAACUUCUUUUGUAAGGGAAUAAAGUGAGUCACGCGUGACUUUUUGCAUGUACCUUACGAAUAAGGAUCGGCUAACUCCGUGCCAGCAGCCGCGGUAAUUC